rnacentral:lncRNA from 1 species
UGGAACUGUUAUUAACAUCUUCUGCCGAGAGCUUUUUCACAAAUAUCUUGGUAUAGUACUUUCUUUCAAAUUCUGACCAGGCAGCUAUUAACUGAAUGGAAGCAAAAGAGGUGUAAGUAAUAUUAUUUCUCUGCAUAUAAUAUUUUCAUAAUUAGUCAUCCAGUUAAUUCAGGGGACUCAGCAAGGAGCCUCUGAUUGCUCUUCCUGGUUUCUAAUUUUGGUCACUCUCUGCUUUCAAACUGCCCACAGGGAGGACAAACACACCUAGGAGCUCUCAGGUCCUCAGGAGAGAUGUUCACAUGAAGUUUUUAAUUGAUUGCUGUCAGACAGGAAGGUUGUAGUGUAUCAUUCUUGGAAAUGUUAAAAAUCUGUCUGUAAAGGGUCCUGGGUAACUGCAUCUGGGUGCCCCUGCUUGAGCACAGAGCUUGGGGCAGUGACCUACAGAAGUCCCUUUCACCCUCAACUAAGAAUUCUGUGAUUCUGACACUCCUUGUGACAUCAGGGAGAACUUGGAUCAAGGUCAUACUGUGACAUUUUUUAUGUCCUUAAGGAAAACAUUAACCUUUUCCUUGAAGGCUUUCAAACACAGUCUUGACAGAACUGUAGGUUUCUGUACAGAGGUAGCUAUAGCUCAUGGUAAUGAUGAUAUCAGCACGAAGCUGAAGGCUGCACAGUUCAACCAGAAAGCUUCCUCCAUUACUAGAGAGGUCAGCUCUACAGAAACUUGGAAAUAUGAAUCAAGAUACACAGAACUUGGUCAGCUUAAGCUAGCCAGCUGAGCCAAACAGGUGAAAAAUACAGAGAAUAUUCACAUUUUAAUUAAAAAUGUUAUGCAUCAGCUUUAAGUGGAGAAAGCGCUUCUUAGAUUGCUUCAGGUGAUGGAUCUGGUGCAGAGUCCUGACUGGGUCUUUAGUAUUCUCUGUGGCUCUGUGAAAAGUCUCUUCAUCUCACCUUAAUGUCAGACAUCUAUUGAACUACUUAUCUGGAUGUCUUCUACAAUUGUCUGAGAAAAACAAGCACAAUUUAUUUAACCUGUUUUAACACACCUAUUUAAGGAUAAAAUUAUUUGUGCUCUUCCAAGUGCUUUCGAUUGGCUGUAGCAGAUAAAUGUGUUAUCAGACACAGGCUGAUGUAGUUUUCAAAGCAUGGACUGAUGAAACCCACCUUGCCACCCCUGUUUUCUCUCAUCCUUUUUCCACAGUUAUCCAUCUAAACUCCAAGAUUUCUGGAGAAGUGGCAACUUCUAAUUUAUGUGAUGGUGUCUUGAAUCAAUAAUCAAAC